GAGCACGUAGGUGGGUUUGUAAGUCAGGUGUGAAAGCCUUCUGUUCAAAGGAAGAACGGCAUCUGAAACCGCAGAUCUUGAGUGUAGGAGGGGAGAGUGGAACUUCUGGUGGAGCGGUGAAAUGCGUAGAUAUCAGAAGGAACGUCGGCGGCGAAAGCGACUCUCUGGCCUAUUACUGACACUGAGGUGCGAAAGUUAGGGGAGCAAACGGGAUUAGAUACCCCGGUAGUCCUAACCGUAAACGAUGGGCACUAAGUAGAGGGAAUUACCAAUGUUCUCUCUGCCGUAGCUAACGCAUUAAGUGCCCCGCCUGGGGAGUACGGCCGCAAGGCUAAAACUCAAAAGAAUUGACGGGGGCUCGCACAAGCGGUGGAGCAUGUGGCUUAAUUCGAUGCAACGCGAAAAACCUUACCGGGGUUUGACAUGGUAGAAGUAGGAACCCGAAAGGGCAACCAACGGUAUCCAGUCCGUAGCUAUCACAGGUGUUGCAUGGCUGUCGUCAGCUCGUGUCGUGAGACGUUGGGUUAAGUCCCCUAACGAGCGAAACCCUUGUUUUUAGUUACCAUCGGGUAGUGCCGGGUACUCUAAAAAGACUGCCGUCGUCAAGACGGAGGAAGGUGGGGAUGACGUCAAGUCAUCAUGGCCCUUAUACCCCGGGCUGCACACGUGCUACAAUGGUCGGUACAAAAGGAUGCAAGACCGAGAGGUGAAGCGAAUCC
rnacentral:rRNA from 1 species